UGCAGUCGAAGGUACAGGUCUUCGGACGCUGACGAGUGGCGAACGGGUGAGUAAUACAUCGGAACGUGCCCAGUCGUGGGGGAUAACUACUCGAAAGAGUAGCUAAUACCGCAUACGAUCUGAGGAUGAAAGCGGGGGACCUUCGGGCCUCGCGCGAUUGGAGCGGCCGAUGGCAGAUUAGGUAGUUGGUGGGAUAAAAGCUUACCAAGCCGACGAUCUGUAGCUGGUCUGAGAGGACGACCAGCCACACUGGGACUGAGACACGGCCCAGACUCCUACGGGAGGCAGCAGUGGGGAAUUUUGGACAAUGGGCGAAAGCCUGAUCCAGCAAUGCCGCGUGCAGGAUGAAGGCCUUCGGGUUGUAAACUGCUUUUGUACGGAACGAAAAAGCUUCUCCUAAUACGAGAGGCCCAUGACGGUACCGCAAGAAUAAGCACCGGCUAACUACGUGCCAGCCGCCGCGGGAAUACGUAGGGGGCGAGCGCUAAUCGGAAAUACUGGGCGCAAAGCGUGCGCCGGCGGGUAUGUAAGACACAAGUGAAAAACCCCGGGCUUCACCUGGGAAAUGGAUUUGUGACUGCCAGGCCUGAGUACCGGAGAAAGGGAUGGAAAUCCCCGCGUAGCCGUGAAAUGCGUUAAUAUUCGGAGGAAACCCCAUGGCGAAAGCAAACCCC
rnacentral:rRNA from 1 species